AUUUCUCCUCCCCAUUUCAAACUUUCCAUCCUCCAUGGAGGCCAUCCUUGAAACCUCCAUAACUUUCUCAUAUUAACUCCAAAUUUCAUGUUUUGUACAUUUUUUCAUAAGAUUUCGUGCUCUUUUACUUUUUCACCUCAAAAACCCUCAAAAAGUUUUUCCUCUACACUUUCUCUCACUAGCUGAAUGUUUUUAGAGAGAAAAACUCUUCAAAAUAGCUUGAAAACUCUUAAAGGAAGUUUUCCCCUUUUAAUCCUCACUAAGAAAAUUCAACUACAAGUUCACCAAGGUGAGUAAUGGGUUAGGGUUGAUUUUUAAGUUUGUUAAUGAUGGCUAAUAAUUAGAUUUGUGGGCUGUUUUAUUGUGGUUAAAAUGUCAUCAUUUAUUACUAGUGUGAUUAGAAUAGUGCAAACAAAUGACUAGCUAAUGACUUGAAUGUUAGCUUUGUAAAUUUGCAAGUAAAUUAAUACUUGGAAUAGGAAAUGAAGGGUUGUUUUAAAAGGUUGAAAUUGUAGAGGAAGAAAUGAUCAAUAAUCAUGGUAAUUCAUGGUUUAACUAGUGGUUUAGAUGACUAAUUUAAUAAAGGACAUUGUGGGUGUAAGAUGUCACUAAGGGAAUUAAUUAGGAUUGGAAUUAUGAAUUUUAAAGAUGACAUAGGUGCUAGAAAAAUGGAAGUAAUAAAUGAAGUGUUAUGAAAAUGGUGGAGUUAGUAUUAGGAUGACUAGUCAAAUGAUAAAUGAAAACUAGUUAGGAAGAACAAGUAAAGUUUGAUUUUAGAAGUUGCAUUCGGAUUUAUAUUCAUGUAAAUUGGGUUGGUUGUGAUGCUAUUGUGUGUGAUAGGUUCCAACAAGACCCCACAUUUCCCCUUGGAGCAUUAGUUGAAGUUUGGAGUCGAUCAAAAAGAAAAUCAACAAAGACAAGUGAGUGAACUUGCAUUUAAAACGUUUUGAACAAAUGAGCAUGUGUUUGAGUAAAGUAUUUAAAUAUUCUUGGUUGACUCUUUUAAAGAAAAUCUUGCACGGGAACAAGCCUUUUACGAGUGAUAUUUCUAUGUUGUUAAACGUGAAAUGUGACGAAUCACAUGUUUGAAAUAUUUUGUUGAAUUGUCAAUUGAAUGGUGGCAUGUGAUGCAUUGGAAAUUUUGUGAUGUACUAAGCUAGUGGCAUAGCAGUUAAUAUUAUUUUCUUUGAAUGUCGGAUUGUGCAACCAUGUGUAUGACCAAUAAAACUAUGAACUCUGUGGAAUGUAUUAUUAUGCAAAGAUUAUUGUUAUAUGUUGUUAUGUGUGCUAAGCUUUGAAAGGUAAUAUUGAAUGAUAAUUAUAACCGUGUGUGUGCGAUGUGGGAGUGCACUUGAUGGUGAUGGUGGUGUACGGUGUGCGAGUGCACAUGAUGAUAUAUGCCAUGUGCGGUGUGGGAGUGCAUAUGAUACUUGCCAUGUACGGUGUGGGCGUGCACAUGAGGAUACUAGCUAUGUGCAAUGUGGAAGUGCACAUGAGCUGAGAUGAGGUUGGCAGUUGUAUGUGCAGAGGCUUGUUGAUUAGUGUGGGGAUAACCUUGGUGUAUGUUUGAAUUAUCUAUGUAUUUAUAUACACAUAAUAUAUACAUGAAUUCUUACAACCAUGUGUACUUGUCCUGUAGAGUAGAGAUGUUUGAAAAAUGUAAUGUGAUUGAAUUGAAUGUUGAAAGUUGAUAUCCAUAAAUGUUUCCAAAAUGAGUUAAAAGACAUCAUAGCAUCGAAUUUGGUUUUUGAAGAAUAAAUUGCAUUGAUUUUAACAUAAGUGCAUUGUGUUUCCUAAAACCUUCCGUAUCGUUGCUUGUUCCCUUCCUAUGUUCACUCACUGGGUUUAUACUCAUUCUUUUCAACUUCAUGUUUUCGUUUUCAGAUUCGGAGGUGGUUGGGACAUAGAUUGAAGUGUCCACUUAUAUACACCUUUUGAUAGCUUUACCAUGGCAUCCAGUAGCAGUAUCCUUACCCAAAGUCACUUCGCUAGUAGUCAAGGGUCUUUUGCAGUUGUGCAUGUAUACUUGAUGUGAAUUACUAAGAUUUAUUUUGUAAACAUUAUAUGUAUAUUUUGAUUGAUGAUGCCAUUAUGAGUUGGCAAUUGGUGACAUUAUUUUGGGAUGAUACAAAUAUGUGUAUUUGGUUACCAUGGUAUAUUACUGAAGUGCU
rnacentral:lncRNA from 1 species